UCCUCCGGUUCUUGCUCGAUGAUCAGAAUCUAGGGAACGGAAGCUCGGGCUAAUGCCGUCGGCGGUGCAGAGGAUGUUGGAUACGUGCAGAGAGGUGUUUGCCUUCGGAGGUGCCGGGAUCGUGCCCUCGCCGGAGGAUGUUGAUCGCAUCAUGUCCAUUUUCGAUCGUAUAGAUGCCUCGGAUGUUGGUCUUACUCCGGAUAUGUCGUACUUCCGACGUGGUGCAUCCAGAGGAACGCCGGUGAUUACGUACCUGCCCAUCCGCGAGCUCGAGGAGUUCUCGAUGGUCAUCUUCUGUUUGCCUCCGUCGGGUGUGAUCCCACUCCACGACCAUCCAGGCAUGACGGCAUUCACCAAGCUUCUCUUCGGCUCCAUGCACAUAAAAUCCUAUGACUGGGUCAAUGUGCCUCAGAACUUGGCCGAGCUGGUCAACCCUUUGCAACCAACCUCGUUACCCCCUGGAUUGCGCUUGGCGAAAGUGAAGACGGAUGCAAUCUUUACUGCGCCUUGUAGGACCUCCGUGCUUUAUCCGGAAGACGGAGGCAACCUGCACUGUUUCAGAGCAAGAACAUGUUGUGCAGUGCUGGACGUGCUGGGACCGCCUUAUUCCAGCGCUCGAGGAAGGGAUUGCACCUACUACCACGAUCGUCCAUACGCUUGGUUUCCUGGCGGGUAGGUUCUGCGCAAAUUUGCGUUUCGCUUGGUCUCCUUUACGCAUAUACAUAUACCUAUAUAUCCUCGACUUUCAUUUGAUUUGAGGUUUAUUCCAUGUUGAGAGCUUUGGAGGGCGAGACAUCUCGUCGCCACCAAUAGGUUGAUGUUAUCCUGCUUUCCUGCUUCUCGAUGGUUAUUCUCGUUCCUCUGUCUCAUGCAACCGUGCAUAUAUAUAUAUAUAUAUAUAUAUAUAUAUAUAUAUAUAUAUCAUCGUCCCCAUGCCACUCCUGGGAGAGGCGAACCCGGUAGCCGAUGAGGACGUCGGGACGUACGCUUGGCUUGAAGAGAGGAACCAGCCUGACGACUUCUUUGUGGUUAGG